rnacentral:misc_RNA from 1 species
AGUUCAAAGGAAUUGCAGUAUUGUUGCAGCUGUGCAAAUUAUGCGAUAGAUGUUAUCUGUGACCGGUCAGUUUAAUAUUGUUUUUGUGUCAUUCGUAUUUCACAUACAGAUGGUUCCAGGUGUAGCCCGCAGCAGACCACGUAUAAUUGCCGUAAUAAAUCCUGCCGCGACGACUUAUGCGCGCCCGCCGCCCGCGUCUCGACCCGCGACAAUUAAAUCACGCUGAGUUAUGGAAUCCAUCUAAUUACAUUAAACACAAAAUUGUAUGAAUCCGCUCUGUCUUUUCUGCAUAUCUGUAUGUUCAUUUAGUGAUAGCGGUAACACUUUUGAACUAAUCGGACAGUAAUAUAUGUGAUUUUUAAUUAAAAUAGUUUUUUAACAGAUAGU